AUUGAACGCUGGCGGCAGGCCUAACACAUGCAAGUCGAGCGGAUGAGGAAAGCUUGCUUUUCGAUUCAGCGGCGGACGGGUGAGUAAUGCCUAGGAAUCUGCCUGUUAGUGGGGGAUAACUCGGGGAAACUCGGGCUAAUACCGCAUACGUCCUACGGGAGAAAGUGGGGGAUCUUCGGACCUCACGCUAACAGAUGAGCCUAGGUCGGAUUAGCUAGUAGGUGAGGUAAUGGCUCACCUAGGCGACGAUCCGUAACUGGUCUGAGAGGAUGAUCAGUCACACUGGAACUGAGACACGGUCCAGACUCCUACGGGAGGCAGCAGUGGGGAAUAUUGGACAAUGGGCGAAAGCCUGAUCCAGCCAUGCCGCGUGUGUGAAGAAGGUCUUCGGAUUGUAAAGCACUUUAAGUUGGGAGGAAGGGCAGUAAGCUAAUACCUUGCUGUUUUGACGUUACCGACAGAAUAAGCACCGGCUAACUCUGUGCCAGCAGCCGCGGUAAAAC
rnacentral:rRNA from 1 species